UUUUCAAGCUUAUAAUUCAGUGGUAGAACACUUGCCUAGCAUUCUAAAGGUCCUGGGUUUGAUCCCCAGCAUUGGAAAA
rnacentral:tRNA from 1 species